UACCCUAUCCAUUUGGGGUAAUCCUACCACAAUCUGCGUGAAUGGUAACGUUCAGGUGGGAAGCUUGUGGGACAAUAUGGGAAACCUGACAGCCUAAGUCGGGCGUACUG
rfam:Anaerotruncus sp. G3(2012) genomic scaffold acPFl-supercont1.4, whole genome shotgun sequence.